AUUGAACGCUGGCGGCAUGCCUAACACAUGCAAGUCGAACGGCAGCACGGGAGCUUGCUCCUGGUGGCGAGUGGCGGACGGGUGAGUAAUGCAUAGGAAUCUGCCCAGUAGCGGGGGACAACUUGGGGAAACUCAAGCUAAUACCGCAUGCGCCCUACGGGGGAAAGCGGGGGACCUUCGGGCCUCGCACUAUUGGAUGAGCCUAUGUCAGAUUAGCUUGUUGGUGGGGUAACGGCCUACCAAGGCGACGAUCUGUAGCUGGUCUGAGAGGACGAUCAGCCACACUGGGACUGAGACACGGCCCAGACUCCUACGGGAGGCAGCAGUGGGGAAUAUUGCACAAUGGGCGAAAGCCUGAUGCAGCAAUGCCGCGUGUGUGAAGAAGGCCUGCGGGUUGUAAAGCACUUUCAGUAGGGAGGAAACAGUAGCCGGUUAAUAUCCGGUUGCCUUGACGUUACCUACAGAAGAAGCACCGGCUAACUUCGUGCC
rnacentral:rRNA from 1 species